rnacentral:rRNA from 1 species
UAACACGUGAGUAACCUGCCCUUAACUCUGGGAUAAGCCUGGGAAACUGGGUCUAAUACCGGAUAGGAGCGCCCACCGCAUGGUGGGUGUUGGAAAGAUUUAUCGGUUUUGGAUGGACUCGCGGCCUAUCAGCUUGUUGGUGAGGUAAUGGCUCACCAAGGCGACGACGGGUAGCCGGCCUGAGAGGGUGACCGGCCACACUGGGACUGAGACACGGCCCAGACUCCUACGGGAGGCAGCAGUGGGGAAUAUUGCACAAUGGGCGAAAGCCUGAUGCAGCGACGCCGCGUGAGGGAUGACGGCCUUCGGGUUGUAAACCUCUUUCAGUAGGGAAGAAGCGAAAGUGACGGUACCUGCAAAAGAAGCACCGGCUAACUACGUGCCAGCAGCCGCGGUAAUACGUAGGGUGCGAGCGUUAUCCGGAAUUAUUGGGCGUAAAGAGCUCGUAGGCGGUUUGUCGCGUCUGUCGUGAAAGUCCGGGGCUUAACCCCGGAUCUGCGGUGGGUACGGGCAGACUAGAGUGCAGUAGGGGAGACUGGAAUUCCUGGUGUAGCGGUGGAAUGCGCAGAUAUCAGGAGGAACACCGAUGGCGAAGGCAGGUCUCUGGGCUGUAACUGACGCUGAGGAGCGAAAGCAUGGGGAGCGAACAGGAUUAGAUACCCUGGUAGUCCAUGCCGUAAACGUUGGGCACUAGGUGUGGGGACCAUUCCACGGUUUCCGCGCCGCAGCUAACGCAUUAAGUGCCCCGCCUGGGGAGUACGGCCGCAAGGCUAAAACUCAAAGGAAUUGACGGGGGCCCGCACAAGCGGCGGAGCAUGCGGAUUAAUUCGAUGCAACGCGAAGAACCUUACCAAGGCUUGACAUGUUCUCGAUCGCCGUAGAGAUACGGUUUCCCCUUUGGGGCGGGUUCACAGGUGGUGCAUGGUUGUCGUCAGCUCGUGUCGUGAGAUGUUGGGUUAAGUCCCGCAACGAGCGCAACCCUCGUUCCAUGUUGCCAGCACGUCGUGGUGGGGACUCAUGGGAGACUGCCGGGGUCAACUCGGAGGAAGGUGAGGACGACGUCAAAUCAUCAUGCCCCUUAUGUCUUGGGCUUCACGCAUGCUACAAUGGCCGGUACAAUGGGUUGCGAUACUGUGAGGUGGAGCUAAUCCCAAAAAGCCGGUCUCAGUUCGGAUUGGGGUCUGCAACUCGACCCCAUGAAGUCGGAGUCGCUAGUAAUCGCAGAUCAGCAACGCUGCGGUGAAUACGUUCCCGGGCCUUGUACACACCGCCCGUCAA